AACGCGAAGAACCUUACCUACCCUUGACAUGCCAGGAAUUCUGCAGAGAUGCGGAAGUGCCGAAAGGAACCUGGACACAGGUGCUGCAUGGCUGUCGUCAGCUCGUGUUGUGAGAUGUUGGGUUAAGUCCCGUAACGAGCGCAACCCUUAUCCUUAGUUACCAUCAUUAAGUUGGGGACUCUAAGGAGACUGCUGGUGAUGAACCGGAGGAAGGCGGGGACGACGUCAAGUCAUCAUGGCCUUUAUGGGUAGGGCUACACACGUGCUACAAUGGACGGUACAGAGGGCGGCCAACCCGCGAGGGGGAGCCAAUCCCAGAAAGCCGUUCGUAGUCCGGAUCGGAGUCUGCAACUCGACUCCGUGAAGUCGGAAUCGCUAGUAAUCGCGAAUCAGAAUGUCGCGGUGAAUACGUUCCCGGGCCUUGUACACACCGAGACGAC
rnacentral:rRNA from 1 species